rnacentral:tRNA from 1 species
GGGAGUGGUGGCGCUAGCGGCGCUCUGACCUGGGGGUACUGACAGCAUCCGCCUUAACGGGUUUCGCUCGGUAUUCGCCUGCGAAUAUGCUGGUCGCUACACCGCUCAGUUCCAUCCGCCUUACAAGCGGGUGGUCGGAGGUUCGAGUCCUCUCGCGCCCA